AAUCCUCCUUCAUCUCCCCCACCAUCAAUGGAGCUAUCAUCAGCCAACCCUCUCAACCAAGCUAUCCAACUCCCAACUUGGUUCUCACCAGAAUCAGGAAUCUACACCAGCAAGCACACCCCAAGGCUCCUCCCUCAGGACCCUUUUCAGGACUUGCCCUCCUUCAUCCUCUCCAACAACCAUCAAUCCCUCACCGCCCUCGUCGACUAUCAUUCCGGGUUUUCACUUACUUAUCUAGAGCUUCACAACAUGGUCAAAUCCAUCGCCUCCGGGCUUCACAAAAUCGGUGUUUCCCGCAACCAAGUGGUGCUCAUCCUCCUCCCCAACACAGUCCUAUUCCCGGUUAUAUUCCUCGGUAUCCUCUCAGUCGGCGCGAUCGCCACUACCAUGAACCCUCUCUCCAGCCCUCAAGAAAUAAGGAAGCAGAUGACGAGCAGCAAUGCAAUGCUGGUCUUCAUGUCUCACGACCACAUCAGGAAACUCGAUGCCCUGGGGUUGGGUGUCGAAACAAUCGCAGUCCCGGAACUACCAUCGCCGUCGAAUGAAUUCCCUACUUUCACACAACUCCUCCUUAGCAAUCCAGAGCACACCCCAAAACAGGUGAUUCGUCAGACUGACACUGCGGCUAUAGUCUACUCAUCGGGUACUUCGGGCAGCAGCAAAGGGGUCGUGAUAACACACGGGAAUCUGAUAGCGGCGGUGGAGCUUUUCGUUCGAUUCGAGGCUUCACAGUAUGAGGCUGAGAGCUGGGAGAAUGUGUAUUUGGAUGUGAUACCGAUGUUUCACGUGUACGGUUUGAUGCUUUGCGCUAUUGGUCUCUUGUCUCUUGGUUCGAAGGUUGUGGUGAUGAGGAGGUUUAGUGUGGAGGAGGCGGUGAGAGCGAUUGAUAGAUACGGGGUUACACACUUCCCCCUUGUUCCACCGAUAAUGGGGGCGCUUGUCCGGGCCAAGGAGGCUACUGGCUCGGGUUUGCGGUCGUUGAGGCAGGUUUCGUGCAGUGCGGCUCCUCUGAGCAGGAAGUUGAUACAAGAUUUCGUGAUGGCGUUCCCUCAUGUGGAUUUUAUUCAGGGUUAUGGAAUGACCGAGUCUACUGCAGUAGGAACUCGGGGUUUCAAUACUGCUAAAUUGAAGAAGUAUGAAUCAGUUGGUCUCUUAGCUCCAAAUAUGCAAGCCAAAGUGGUUGAUUGGCAAAAUGGGUCCUUUUUGCCUCCUGGCGGCAUUGGCGAGCUAUGGCUACGUGGGCCAGGUAUCAUGAAAGGAUACUUGAAUGAUGAGAAUGGAACUUCUUCAACAAUUAAUAAUGAUGGUUGGUUGAGAACAGGCGACAUCACAUAUUUUGACCAAGAUGGAUACUUAUAUGUAUUGGAUCGCUUGAAGGAUACAAUCAAGUAUAAGGGAUUCCAGAUAGCUCCAGCUGAUUUAGAAGGACUAUUGAUUUGUCACCCUGAAAUUCUUGACGUUGCUGUUACAUUUACUGAAGAUGAAGAAGCUGGGGAGAUACCGGUGGCAUUUGUAGUUCGUGUUCCUGGAAGUUCACUUUCUUCUUCAGAAGUUAUUCAGUAUGUAGCUAAGCAGGUGGCUCCAUACAAGAAGGUGAGGAGGGUUGUGUUCGUAGAUUCGAUCCCCAAAUCCGCAGCAGGGAAGAUACUAAAAAGGUUACUGAGGAGCAAUUCUGCGGUUUCGAGGAUGUAGCGUAUCGUUUCGGUGGCGAAAAAUAGGUUCUCGUAUCAACCAUUACCAGUUGAAUAUAAACAUCGCUGCCAUAUUUAUGUAAAUGGUGUAUUAUUGACAUGUAUGGAGAAAUAUUCGACAAACUUGAUAUCUGAAAUAUGAUUUUACUUGCUCAAG
rnacentral:misc_RNA from 1 species